rnacentral:rRNA from 1 species
CCUACGGGGUGCACCAGUGGGGAAUAUUGGACAAUGGGCGCAAGCCUGAUGCAGCCAUGCCGCGUGUAUGAAGAAGGCCUUCGGGUUGUAAAGUACUUUCAGCGGGGAGGAAGGUGUUGUGGUUAAUAACCGCAGCAAUUGACGUUACCCGCAGAAGAAGCACCGGCUAACUCCGUGCCAGCAGCCGCGGUAAUACGGAGGGUGCAAGCGUUAAUCGGAAUUACUGGGCGUAAAGCGCACGCAGGCGGUUUGUUAAGUCAGAUGUGAAAUCCCCGGGCUCAACCUGGGAACUGCAUCUGAUACUGGCAAGCUUGAGUCUCGUAGAGGGGGGUAGAAUUCCAGGUGUAGCGGUGAAAUGCGUAGAGAUCUGGAGGAAUACCGGUGGCGAAGGCGGCCCCCUGGACGAAGACUGACGCUCAGGUGCGAAAGCGUGGGGAGCAAACAGGAUUAGAUACCCGCGUAGUC